UGCUGUGCCGGGAAUUCACGAAUAUUCGCGCAUCUUUCCACGCGCAUUCUGCCUGUUCAAUACAUCUCCCAGGUUUCCUGGAACUUCCAGCAGAUGGCACGAUAGGAGUAUGCAACGCAAGGGGUGGAAAAUACAACCCCCUUUUCGAGCGACUGCUAACCUCUUCUACUAGCUAGUGGUGAUCUCAUCUAAGAGACGACGACUCGACAGACUGCCACGAGGAUAUCAACUCUAUCCCAAAUGUCUUAGAUGUAUCGCUGAGGUACGCCGUAGGUGAUCCGCCACGGAGCCAAUCUCCUGUAUCAGCAUCAUCGUUCCAUCGCCGUCCACCUUAGAGAUGUCUUCAUUUGUCUUAUUCAAAUGAGAUGCCGUGAGAGACGGUCUUUAAGCGGCUUAAAGGAAUAAAGCCUUUCAGAUUGUACCAUGAAAGAUCGGAGCAAUAGUUUGCAAUAUUGAUCAAUAUUCUAGAGCCCUUUGUUGGCUAGUUUUUUAUUUAUGAAAAUAUUGUGUAAUGUGAAGGCUUAGCAAUAUCGAGAAUCGAAUAAAUAUCCAUUUU